UUCAUCUUCCAGAAAGUCCCAGAGCGUCCAGACCCCCUGAAAAGACCAAGAUGUAAGGUGUCUGCUGUUGAUUCCAGCUUCCACCUCAGUGACAGUGCAAGCUCAGUGAACUGUUCAAGGUAAUAAAUAAAAAUUAAAACAUUUCAGAUUUUUUAAGAUAUUAACAAUUAAAUAAGUAUGUGAUUACAUCAUGACGGGGGCUACUGAUUCUGCCCCUGUGACACUUGGUGGUGACGUGUGAGCUGAUUCACCUGGAAAACAACUUUUACAUUAAAUAUUUUGUUUUUGCUAUCAAAAGUAAAUUAACUAAUAACCUGCAUUAUUGCAGGCCACUCAGCAAAAUAUGGACUCUACACCAUGAGGCAUGCACACAUUAAUAUUCUAUAAGAGCACAUAAGCAUGAGGAUGUCCUCACACACCUGUAACCUAUCAGCUCAUCUGGCAGAAUAGAGAGAGAAGAGACAACACCACAUCUCCUGUUCCUGGAAAGCCUUCAGCCAUCCUUUGAUGACUGAGAACCUCCAUCAGCUCUGUCUCCUGUCUGCCUACAAUUAUUAUAAUAAAUAUUGUGUUUGACAAGUU